GAAGGGAGCUUGCUCCUGGAUUCAGCGGCGGACGGGUGAGUAAUGCCUAGGAAUCUGCCUGGUAGUGGGGGAUAACGUCCGGAAACGGGCGCUAAUACCGCAUACGUCCUGAGGGAGAAAGUGGGGGAUCUUCGGACCUCACGCUAUCGGAUGAGCCUAGGUCGGAUUAGCUAGUUGGUGGGGUAAAGGCUCACCAAGGCGACGAUCCGUAACUGGUCUGAGAGGAUGAUCAGUCACACUGGAACUGAGACACGGUCCAGACUCCUACGGGAGGCAGCAGUGGGGAAUAUUGGACAAUGGGCGAAAGCCUGAUCCAGCCAUGCCGCGUGUGUGAAGAAGGUCUUCGGAUUGUAAAGCACUUUAAGUUGGGAGGAAGGGCAGUAAGUUAAUACCUUGCUGUUUUGACGUUACCAACAGAAUAAGCACCGGCUAACUUCGUGCCAGCAGCCGCGGUAAUACGAAGGGUGCAAGCGUUAAUCGGAAUUACUGGGCGUAAAGCGCGCGUAGGUGGUUCAGCAAGUUGGAUGUGAAAUCCCCGGGCUCAACCUGGGAACUGCAUCCAAAACUACUGAGCUAGAGUACGGUAGAGGGUGGUGGAAUUUCCUGUGUAGCGGUGAAAUGCGUAGAUAUAGGAAGGAACACCAGUGGCGAAGGCGACCACCUGGACUGAUACUGACACUGAGGUGC
rnacentral:rRNA from 1 species